rnacentral:tRNA from 1 species
UUUGGGUGACUUCCUGACUAACUGGAAGACAAAGCAUGCGAGAGGCCCUGGGUUCAAUUCCCAGCUCGCCCC